CCAGAUUACUGCGUCUGAGUCUGCGGGUGACUCAUCGGCUGUCGGUCUGACUACAUCUGCGGUCAUGGGUGCCCUCCUGCGAGUGUGCACGUACAUCAGCAGCAGGCUGUAACCAUGGCAAAAAAACAACCCAAUAAGUGAGCUAGAUUAUAUUACUGCUAGAGUCCUUUCCGGGUUCACAGCUGCAACAAAUAUCCUUACAACCACAAUGAUUAGAUCAUGUUUAUGAAAGAAUAAAUAAAAACUAUUAUCAGCAGACUCCUUUGAGGGGUCAUAACCCUGACUAAAUGGUUCAUACAUCUGGUAUUGAAGCAGAAAUUUAGAACAAAAAUGAACACACACAAUCUAAUCGAUUUUCAUUUUCAAAGCAACAAUUAUUCCUAAUCAAACAGGAAAUAAUGUAACAUACUGGUAAUUACAGGUAUAUUGGCAUCUACUCUGUAUAUUAGCUUAACAUUCACUAGACAGGCCACCCAAUUAAAAUUUUUCAGUAAAGAAUAUAAAAUCUUUUUGAUGUCUUCCACGGAUCUUUAACCGCAAGUCCACGGAGCCUCGAAACAAACGGCCAAAUUACCGACUCUGCAUGUCUCCUGUUUGUUCUGCGGCCUCCCGCUGACGGUCCAGUUAUUAGGACGAGGCGUGCUGAAGCAGAGACGCGUGUAAAAAUAUUAACUGGUUGAUUACUGAGGCGAUAUGCUUGCCAGUAGCUGGCUGCAAUAACAAAUGCGCUGUUGGGAGCUCGCCAGAUGUAGUUUUGAAAUUCCUUUACCGUAAGAAGAGUAGCCGGUAGAUUAAUUUUAGUUGCCGCGUCAUGACUGUUCAUGUUGAAAUAUUUUCAAAUGUCAGACUUUGCCUUUCUUGUAAUCCUUGGAUUUUUCUGUCUUUACUCCCUCGUGCCCCUUUUCUCCUUUUUCCUUAUUUCCUUCCUUCCUGAUACCGAUAACUGGGUCAUGGCUACUAGACCCGAUAGGACGGGGUCCUCUUUGUCUCGAACAGGCGGUGUUAAACGUUGGUCAAGCUUCACCGGAGUAAUUUUAUUACUCGAGUUGGUCUUUCACUCCUUUAAGAUUGGGCCGCUGGCUUCACAAUCAUUACGUGACGGGAUCACGGUGUUACAAGAUCAGUAACAGAACAUUACAGACUUUUUAUCUUCUAGUCUAAAACGCUCCUGUAAUGACGGUUCUUAACCUCAUCGCCUCCGGGGUAAAUGCUGCGAAUGUUACAGAGAAUCCUCAACACCCUGUAGUUUAUCUAUCUCAGACUAAUCACAGACGAAUGGGGAAAAUCUCAGAUUACAGCGCAUCCAGUCUGUAGCUUGUAGCUUAAUUUAAGAUGCUGUAUACACGACAAUCUGUCGUCAGCUUUAAACCGGAACUUUGAAAGCGACUACACGGCGAGCAAAAGUUAAACCCAGAGCGAUCUGGGAUAAAUUUGGGAGAGGACGCGGCCGACACAAACACGGGCGUCAGAAUUUAGCUGCAGCUCGUUUCCAGUCCAGCGGGACCCACUGGGGCCGCAACGCCAUGCGGCGGGUAGCUGAUUCAGCAUGUCGACGAUCGUGACACUUAGAAGGUGUUGAAAAGUGUGGGCAGAGCAGGUUUAGCAACGUGGCCUCUGCUCGUCCUUCGCUCUCCAGUAAUGGUCGGUAAGAAACAUCAACAGGUUCAUUGCCUUUCACACAGCCGUGUGUGGAAAAUGUACACAUUUUAAUACGGGGAGAAGGAAAAACAAAAACAGUAUCAAGGUUUAUAGUCAUGACUCGGUUGGCUUCUUUCCCUGGCUACAACCUAGCUCCGAUGUCUUCUUGCCGUUGCCGUGAUUUUCACUGACGUCAAAGAUUUUGCUGAGGGUUUUGAGGACUUUUUGAGUGAGAAAAUCAUCUUGCAUAUCUAAAAAAAAAAAUAAAAAUAAAAAAACAUAGAAUUAUGGAAUUGUUGGGUAAGUCUAAGAUAAAAGUUGCUGCAUGUCUCCAGAUUAAUUUUGAGUGCACAAGUGAAGAUUUGUAUGGUUCUUUAGCCAGUGAUAAGAAGGAAAUUGGACUACAUGAUGUCUGAGUUCAGUGGCUUGGAAACCUAGCAAACAGGUACCCCAACAGGGGUAUAAAAGUUUGCUGUGUGUAUGCUCUGAUCUGUGAUCUUUGUGAAAAAGAUAGACUAGGUGAUUUCAAUGCUGAUACUCUGACACGGAUGUUUAUUUCCAAGUGUCACCAAAUUAGUCUACACUGAUUAAUAAAAAAAAGACCCACAUAUGAAGUUAUUUAGUUUACAGAGAACUCAUUUGAAGUACAGUCAUUAAAAUAAAACCCGCCCAUAUUCUUCCUUGAUAAACCUUUUGCUCAUUAGGAGCUGUUUGGUUAUCUGCAGCUGUGGCAGGAGCUGUGCUUGUUCCUUCCUUUAAUAAUGCAAAUAAAUAUUGCAAUAACUGCAUGUGCUUUUAUGGUACGACUUAAAAUUGUUAUUUAAGGUGUUUUAAAUGUUACUGUCUAACAUAUGUUUUAUAAAUAGCAGCCAUCUUUAAAUAACUAUAGAUGUAUUCAUUUCAUACCAGCUGUAUUCGAAAUUGUCUUGUGUAAAUAAUAGUUAAUUGACGGCGUUUGGCAGAGCACAUACACAGAGCAGUAUUUUUGUAAACGCAUUGCUGCUCCGUCGGAUCAGAUGAUGGACAGACGCUUGUGCUCGAGUUGGAAAAGUGCCUGUCAGACAGGGAUGAGGACACACUGACCUUAGAGAGAUGUAUUCAUACUCGCCUCUAAUUGCACGAUUAGGAGUCCGUCUUUUGUUUUGCCUCUAACAUCAGCAUUAAAAGAACAGCGUUGUGCUGGAUUCACGUAUUCAGACUCCGUACAUUUAGGCCGCGAUUACUGCUGAGGACAUCGGGCUGCAUGUCGGGCGGUAAAGACGCACAGCGUCCUCCUUUUUUUUUUUUUUUAUCCACGCUCAGCGACACGGCUCAGAUUUGUUGUCCGCACCGACUACCAGAUUACGUAAUGCGAGGUUACGUAAGGUGAAAGCUCGACAUGGAGGAACUUGUUCACAAACAGUCCUCUGCUUUGUGUUUUUACUAUCAACAGAUAGGUUCCU